rnacentral:lncRNA from 1 species
GUGAGCAGACAGAGAAGGCAGAGGCCGAACCGCAGCCGACAGCUUCCAUUUCCGCGCUGCAGCCGCACAGAGCGCUCAGUUUGGGGUUGAAACGAAGGAAAACUUAACAGCACAAUUUUGUUACCGUUCAGUCAGCUGUUCUUUAUUAGCGGCGCCGGGAAGCGCUGGGGAUAUUUCUACUGUAAGCCCUUGGGAAGGUGACACGAUUGAGAGUCCGUUCUAUUUCCACAGUUACCUGUGAGUUAUGAAGAUAGACCUACUUUUCACCAGGAUGCUUGUAAUCUGUGGAACUAGUAUCUGAAGCUAUGCCUCAACGAGUCCUGAACACCAAAAGAGACACCUGAACCAGCUCACAAUCCCUGAAGGAUCACACAGGAACCGUGCACUUAUCGCACUGAGCCCAAAGAUAAAAAGGAAAGCAAGGAGCCUCUUCACAGUCUACUCCUUGGGCAUGCUCUUGACAGCAACUCUGACAGAAGAGAUGAGUUUUCAGGCACUGCCUGAGGAAAUCCCCUUUUAGGAUGGAAAUGCUGUGAUGGAGGACAGUUCUGUCACAGAAGUGCCCAGUACCUGUCCUUGCCUGUGGCCCCAGGACGGAAAGAACUGGGGAAAAGGAAAUCGCAAAGGCAAUUGACCUAAACACACCAAAGUGAUAUUCUGUACCAUAUGACAUCAUGCUGAGGGAUAAAAGCAUGGAAAGGGGUAGGAUAUGGGGCUCACAUGACAAAAAGAAAUGUCUUGGAACACCGGGGCAUCCAGUGCAUAUUGACAGGGGACUACCUAGUGCAUACAGUAGCUCCAGAGUAGGUUGGUGGGCCAAGGGAAGGAAGAUGAGAAGCAGAGUAAACCAGAGAGACUGAGAUCAGAGUGAAAAUGGAGACUAACAACGUGUGGGCAAUCCACAGAAAACCUGGGCUGGGAGCCUGCAGUGGGCAUGGCAGAUCAUGGCACGGCCCCUUGCAGACACACAUGGCCUAUUUGAAGGCAAAGUGAAAGGAGAAAAUAGGGACAGCAAAGAAAAAAAAA